GGACUAUUUACUUCAAGGUGAAUUCCUUAAAUAAAAAAUAUAAAUUAAAAACAAUUAAAAAAUAAAAAUUUGAUCUGUUACUAGAGUUAGCAAGGCUCCUAAAAAUUCUGCAGAUGUCUAAGAAGUUAUCUCCAUGACUCUGUACCAAUGUUCCACAAGCACCCUAAAAUUAGUUGCUUCUCUCUAGAUUUUCCAACCCAAUUGCAGCCAAAAUUUUGCAUGUAUGCCU
rnacentral:misc_RNA from 1 species